CCAAUAGCGUAUAUUAAAGUUGUUGCAGUUAAAAAGCUCGUAGUUGAAUUUCGGGGUUAGUAGGUUGGUCAUGCCUCUGGUAUGUACUGGUCUCACUGAUUCCUCCUUCCUUAUGAACCGUAAUGCCAUUAAUUUGGUGUUGCGGGGAAUUUGGACUGUUACUUUGAAAAAAUUAGAGUGUUUAAAGCAAGCUAACGCUUGAAUACAUUAGCAUGGAAUAAUGAAAUAGGACGUUCGAUCUUAUUUUGUUGGUUUCUAGGAUUGACGUAAUGAUUAAUAGGGAUAGUUGGGGGCAUUAGUAUUCAAUUGUCAGGGGUGAAAUUCUUGGAUUUAUUGAAGACUAACUACUGCGAAAGCAUUUGCCAAGGAUGUUUUCAUUAAUCAAGAACGAAAGUUAGGGGAUCGAAGACGAUCAGAUACCGUCGUAGUCUUAACCAUAAACUAUGCCGACUAGGGAUCGGAUGAUGUUAAUUUUUUAAUGACUCAUUCGGCGCCUUACG
rnacentral:rRNA from 1 species